CGGACGGGUGAGUAACGCGUGGGUAACCUGCCCUAUACAGGGGGAUAACAGUUAGAAAUGACUGCUAAUACCGCAUAAGCGCACUAAAACCGCAUGGUUCGGUGUGAAAAACUGAGGUGGUAUAGGAUGGACCCGCGUCUGAUUAGCUGGUUGGUGAGGUAACGGCUCACCAAGGCGACGAUCAGUAGCCGGCCUGAGAGGGCGACCGGCCACAUUGGGACUGAGACACGGCCCAAACUCCUACGGAAGGCAGCAG
rnacentral:rRNA from 1 species